UACGUAGGGUCCGAGCGUUGUCCGGAAUUACUGGGCGUAAAGAGCUCGUAGGUGGUUUGUCACGUUGUUCGUGAAAACCCACAGCUCAACUGUGGGCGUGCGAGCGAUACGGGCAGACUAGAGUACUGCAGGGGAGACUGGAAUUCCUGGUGUAGCGGUGAAAUGCGCAGAUAUCAGGAGGAACACCGGUGGCGAAGGCGGGUCUCUGGGCAACUACUGACGCUGAGGAGCGAAAGCGUGGGGAGCGAACAGG
rnacentral:rRNA from 1 species